UUGACUUGUGAAGUUUGACUAUGUGUUUGGGCCUUGGUCAAGGUUGAUUUGACUUUUGUUGGAUUAAAAUUAUUAGAUUUAGGGGAUUGAUGAAAUGUAUAUUUCAUCUCCCAAAAUGAAUGAAUGAUUUUAAUUUGAUAAAAUUCCAUACCAUGACCAAUUUGUGUUUGUCUAAUUUCCCCUCCUUAUUCAUCUUUAAUCC
rnacentral:lncRNA from 1 species